rnacentral:rRNA from 1 species
CUACGGGGUGCAGCAGUGAGGAAUAUUGCACAAUGGGGGGAACCCUGAUGCAGCAACGCCGCGUGGAGGAUGACGCAUUUCGGUGUGUAAACUCCUUUUAUAUGUCAAGAAAAUGACGGUAGCAUAUGAAUAAGCACCGGCUAACUCCGUGCCAGCAGCCGCGGUAAUACGGAGGGUGCAAGCGUUACUCGGAAUCACUGGGCGUAAAGGACGCGUAGGCGGGCUUGUAAGUCAGGUGUGAAAUCCUACAGCUUAACUGUAGAACUGCACUUGAAACUACGAGCCUAGAGUAUGGGAGGGGGAGAUGGAAUUAGUGGUGUAGGGGUAAAAUCCGUAGAUAUCACUAGGAAUACCUAAAGCGAAGGCGAUCUCCUGGAACAUAACUGACGCUAAGGCGUGAAAGCGUGGGGAGCAAACAGGAUUAGAUACCCUCAGUAGUC